AUGGCUACAAGAGCAGAAGGAAAAAGGAAGAUUUAUCUUGCACUUGCUCUAUGAUCUCCUGAGAUGGCAUUAGUUAUGGUGCUGCCCUCAUUAGAGCAAGCCCAUGGAAACCAGUCCUGGCGGAACUUCAGGCUCCAAAAGGCAUUUCAAUGAAUGUAAAUUUUGAAUAUAAAGCAACAGACAGAAUUGGCCAAAUUACGUCCAAAAUGGGACUUGAGCUCCUGGAUUAUUCAGAGUCCUUGGAGACGCCUUAAUUCUGCAUUUCCUGAUGUGCGUGUGCAUGGAUAGAGCUCAGCUGCGAGGUGGCCGUACACACCGCUCUGUUCCUACCCCUGCAUCAUACUCUGUAAUUCCAUAAAUGAUGUUAACGUUAAUGAUUUAACAAGAAAUAUAAUUACGGUUUCUACAGCAACCGUGGCUUUAAAUAUCCUGAAUUAUGUACAUGUAUAAUCUCAAUCAUAAUGAAAUAGUAAUGCAGCUCAUUGCAUGUAAAUUACGUUCAAAGUUAGGACUUUUAAGAGAAAACUGCUUUUGAGCGAUCAGGAUGGAAGAAUAUGUAUGAGAAACCCCUCCCUAGCAUGAGAAUUUCUGCUGAUUCGUGCUUGGAAAGUUAAAAAUGAAAUAGAGGGUUGCUUUUUGCUUUGG